CAAAAUUCAAGUGUUAAAUAUACAUUUUUCAAAAUUCAAGUGUUAAACUUUAAGACAAACACCAAUAUUAAUGUUAUGGUUCUAUAUUUGUAUAAGCUGAACAUUGGCAAUCUCCCACUGCAAACUAAGUCUAAAUGGCUGAAAUGCAAACAAGUUCACAUUUAUAAAUGUUAGCAGCAGUUAUUUGCAAGAAUGGACAAUUUAAAUUCCCAGCUACAAAACAAGUCAUCUUUCCAACAGGAAACCACCUAUACUCUAUCUGCUAAGGUCUCAGUUGCACAUUCAAAGAAAAACAGAGAAAUUUAUGGGAUCCCCCCCCCAAAAAAAAUCAGACUUUUCUUCAAAUAACAUUUGCACUCAAGCAGCAUACCUCCCCAUUAAAGAACUUGCAACGUAUGAAGAUAUUCUCAUUUCCAACAAAGGCAGCUUGUUCCAAUCUCUGUGGCUGAUCUUACAUUAGAGGCCCACCCCAGACCUCAUCAGAAACUUCUCCUAAGAGAGAACAGAAAACUGAUUGCUGCCUCGCCUGCACUGGAAUGGACAGGAAAAAAACCCUCCAGUAUUGCAGUAGGUUCUCUCACUUAUGCAAAAUAAAAAUUGAUAUUUUAGUACAAAAAUAUAUGAUAAAAUAGAGUAUGUAUAGAGCACAUAGUCUGGAAUUAAAUAUGCAUGUCUGAAUAUUUUUCAACUUUUUUUUGGUUUUACUUGCUAUUUUUCUUUUAGGGUAUAUUAAUACUGCAGUAAAGAACUAAAAAAAAUGCACAUGGAAAUGAACACUAUUAAAAUAUUUUAUCCAAGGAACAUGGAAACUUUGAAAUAGCCCUUCUCAUUGCAGAGGAAAGAAUACAUCACACAAUUAGAGAAAAACUCCUGAAGAUUUGAAUUCUGACUACUGCCAGAAUUUUGCUUGCAGAGGAAACUGAGAAAUUCCCUUUCCAUGGUCAGGUGUUGAAAUUAUGAUUUAGCUGAGGAUAUCAAACAUCAAGUUUGGGAAAAGAUUAAAUCACUGCCUUUUUGCUGCCAGUUAUAUAAAAUCAACUGAUAAAAAAAAUGUACUCAACUUGUCCAUGUAUGGUAUGUAGCUAAAUAUAACACAGAAGAAGAAACAUUUUCUCAUGUCCUGAAGGCCACUACGUAUUAAAUCUGUUGAUAACCUUGAAAGAUGUAUUGAAAUUUUUCAAAACAAAUGAGCAGAACUGGACAAAAUUAGUUGGACCCCAGAAAUGCUGGGUUCACAAUCAGGAUUUCUUGCAAAUAACAAAAAAGAAAAAGAAAAAAACAAAACAAAACAAAACAAAACAAAACUUUCAAACUCUGACUUUAGAAUGGACUGUGUCAUUUACUGCCAAGUGCUGGCUUCCAAACCCCAGUCCUCAGCCGUAAUACUAAGAACUGAAAAAUAGUGGGCUAUAAUAUAGAUUAUUUCCCUUCCUUUAUGAAAAUUGGGACCCAAGCACAAUGUUCUUCUGUUCCAUACUGAAGCCCAGUAGUUAUCAAAGAGAAAUUUGUUUGGACAAAUAUAUGAGUUGAAGAAAGUUAUCCGAGUUUUGGAGUAUCAUUAAAAAUCCAAGCGCUUUAAACUUUCAAAACAAUAAGUUGUCAUAAGUGGCAAUGUAUUUGAAGCUUUGAAUACUCUGUUUCUGAAGCUUCAAGGGACAAAUGCCACCAUCACUGUUCAUUAUAAUCUGACAUAACUGAAGGGCCUUCUCAGUGAUGGCUCCUGCCCUGUGGAACGAUAUCACCCCCUAGAUUCGUACUGCUCCCACCCUUUUGACUUUCUGCAAACCUCUAAAAAUCUGGUUGUUCUCACAGGUGUUGGGUUAGGAUGACGGCUGAGCCUUUUUGGUUCUGUCUUCUAGUCACUUAUCUUUUUUUUUCUUGAUAUACUUUGUUUUAAUUUUUUUAUCUGUAAGCUGCCCAGAGUUGCGAUAGAAUCGAGCAGCCUCAAAAUUGAAAUAAGUAAAUAAAUGUUUAUAGAUGAACUCAAGGUUCAUUUUCUUGACUUGCUGAAGCCCUCAAAGGCAAGAUUCUUGACCUCAAAUGGGAAAAAAGGAGCUUCAGCUAGUUUAUCUGAAUCUGUUUAUUCUAGAAGAAGAAAACAGGCUCUGAGUAUCAUCAUACUUGCAUCAAUAUUCAUUUGCAAAGCUUGUUUACUCUGCAUUUGUGAAUAUAAAAACAAAACAGCAUAAAAGGUUUGACAUUCAAAGUCUCAGUCUCCUGUGCUCUGCUCUUUCUUCCACACUGCUCAAAAUUCAAAUCUGCGGCAUGCAAACCUCCUCAAUGCUUACAAUGACAACUGAAACAAAUAAUGUCUGCUAUGACAAAAUCUGAAGAUUUUCCCCCUAAAUUUACAGAUGGUUUGAUUUGUUUUUAGUUAAGGUAUUUUAUUCACUUUGAAAUUUCAAGUACAAUUAUUGGGAGAAGCAAGUU